rnacentral:rRNA from 1 species
GGAAGGGAUGUAUUUAUUAGAUAAAAAACCAACGCCCUUCGGGGCUUUUUGGUGAUUCAUGAUAACUUUACGGAUCGCAUAGCCUUGCGCUGGCGACGGUUCAUUCAAAUUUCUGCCCUAUCAACUUUCGAUGGUAAGGUAUUGGCUUACCAUGGUUUCAACGGGUAACGGGGAAUUAGGGUUCGAUUCCGGAGAGGGAGCCUGAGAAACGGCUACCCCAUCCAAGGAAGGCAGCAGGCGCGCAAAUUACCCAAUCCCGACACGGGGAGGUAGUGACAAUAAAUACUGAUACAGGGCUCUUUUGGGUCUUGUAAUUGGAAUGAGUACAAUUUAAACCUCUUAACGAGGAACAAUUGGAGGGCAAGUCUGGUGCCAGCAGCCGCGGUAAUUCCAGCUCCAAUAGCGUAUAUUAAAGUUGUUGCAGUUAAAAAGCUCGUAGUUGAAACUUGGGCCUGGCUGGCGGGUCCGCCUCACCGCGUGCACUCGUCCGGCCGGGCCUUCCUUCUGAAGAACCUCAUGCCCUUCACUGGGCGUGCUGGGGAACCAGGACUUUUAC